rnacentral:rRNA from 1 species
CGGAUUCUGGCUCAGAUUGAACGCUGGCGGCGUGCUUAACACAUGCAAGUCGCGCGUGAAAGGACUUCGGUCCGAGUAAAGCGGCGCACGGGUGAGUAACGCGUGGAUGAUCUACCCAUGAGUUAGGAAUAACGGCUGGAAACGGUCGCUAAUACCAAAUACGCUCCGAUUUCAACUUCGGGGGAAAGGUGGCCUCUGCUUGCAAGCUACUGCUCAUGGAUGAGUCCGCGUCCCAUUAGCUAGUUGGUGGGGUAACGGCCCACCAAGGCGACGAUGGGUAGCCGGUCUGAGAGGAUGACCGGCCACACUGGGACUGGAACACGGCCCAGACUCCUACGGGAGGCAGCAGUGGGGAAUAUUGCGCAAUGGGCGAAAGCCUGACGCAGCGACGCCGCGUGAGGGAUGAAAGGUCCUCGGAUCGUAGACCUCUGUCAGGAGGGAAGAACCGCCACGGUGCUAAUCAGCCGUGGUCUGACGGUACCUCCAAAGGAAGCACCGGCUAACUCCGUGCCAGCAGCCGC